UACGUAAGGGGCAAGCGUUGUCCGGAAUCAUUGGGCGUAAAGCGCGUGUAGGCGGCCCGGUAAGUCCGCUGUGAAAGUCGGGGGCUCAACCCUCGAAUGCCGGUGGAUACUGUCGGGCUAGAGUGCGGGAGAGGCGAGUGGAAUUCCUGGUGUAGCGGUGAAAUGCGCAGAUAUCAGGAGGAACACCAAUUGCGAAGGCAGCUCGCUGGAACGUAACUGACGCUGAGACGCGAAAGCGUGGGGAGCAAACAGG
rnacentral:rRNA from 1 species